rnacentral:rRNA from 1 species
AUACGUAGGGUGCGAGCGUUGUCCGGAAUUAUUGGGCGUAAAGGGCUCGUAGGCGGUUUGUCGCGUCGGGAGUGAAAUCUCAGGGCUUAACCCUGAGCCUGCUUCCGAUACGGGCAGACUAGAGGUAUGCAGGGGAGAACGGAAUUCCUGGUGUAGCGGUGAAAUGCGCAGAUAUCAGGAGGAACACCGGUGGCGAAGGCGGUUCUCUGGGCAUUACCUGACGCUGAGGAGCGAAAGUGUGGGGAGCGAACAGGAUUAGAUACCCUGGUAGUCCACACCGUAAACGUUGGGCGCUAGGUGUGGGACUCUUCCACGAGUUCCGUGCCGCAGCUAACGCAUUAAGCGCCCCGCCUGGGGAGUACGGCCGCAAGGCUAAA